rfam:Madurella mycetomatis strain mm55 MMYC01_Sc2036, whole genome shotgun sequence.
GCCCGCAUGGCUCAGUGGUAGAGCGUGUCACUAGUAAUGACAAGGUCGCUAGUUCGAUUCUGGCUGUGGGCA